rnacentral:rRNA from 1 species
UACGGGGGGGGCAAGCGUUGUUCGGAAUUACUGGGCGUAAAGGGCUUGUAGGUGGCCAACUAAGUCAGACGUGAAAUCCCUCGGCUUAACCGGGGAACUGCGUCUGAUACUGGAUGGCUUGAGUUUGGGAGAGGGACGCGGAAUUCCAGGUGUAGCGGUGAAAUGCGUAGAUAUCUGGAGGAACACCGGUGGCGAAGGCGGCGUCCUGGACCAACACUGACACUGAGGAGCGAAAGCCAGGGGAGC